GGCAGAGUCAGCUAAUAAAGCUAUUGGACCCAUACUCCAAACAUGAUGGUUAAAGUCCUUCCUCCGUCA
rnacentral:tRNA from 1 species